rnacentral:rRNA from 1 species
UGCUCUUUGUUGGUGGAUUUAUAGAGAGUCGGACCUGCCCGGUGACUUAAGUGUUAAACGGCCGCGGUACCCUAACCGUGCUAAGGUAGCAUAAUCAUUUGCCUUUUAAUUGGAGGCUAGUAUGAAUGGUUUGACGAGAACUGAGCUGUCUCUUUCAAAAUAUUUAGAAUUUAAUUUUUAGGUGAAGAAGCCUAAAUUUGGUUGAGGGACAAGAAGACCCUGUUGAGCUUUAGUGGAAUAAUAUAUAAGGUGUCUGGUUAAGUGUCUGGUAUUAUAUUUUUAUAGAUUGGUUAUAUUAGUAAUCUUUAGUUGGGGCGACUGAGGAACAUAUAAAGCUUCCUUUAAAUUUGAGUAAUAUGUGCUGGCAAGUUGUUGAUGAUCCAGUAUAAGUUUAUAUUGAUCAAGGGAAAAAGUUACCACAGGGAUAACAGCGUAAUCUUUCUGGAGAGAUCUUAUCGAAAGAAGGGUUUGCGACCUCGAUGUUGGACUAAGAUAUCCUAAGGGUGUAGAAGCUCUUGAUGGUUGGUCUGUUCGACCAUUAAAAUCUU